AUUGAACGCUGGCGGCAGGCCUAACACAUGCAAGUCGAGCGAGCGGCGGACGGGUGAGUAAUUUUUGGGGACUGCCCGAUCGUGGGGGAUAACUACUGGAUACGGUAGCUAAUACCGCAUACUAUCGGAUAACCCAUAUAGGAUUAGCUAGUAGGUGAGGUAAUGGGUCACCUAGGCGACGAUCCCUAGCUGGUCUGAGAGGAUGAUCAGCAACACUGGGACUGAGACACGGCCCAGACGCCUACGGAGGCAGCAGUGGGGAAUAUUGCACAAUGGGCGAAAGCCUGAUGCAGCAAGGCCGCGUGUAUGAAGAAGGCCCUAGGGUUGUAAAGUACUUUCAGUAGAGAGGGGUUACCGACAGAAGAAGCACCGGCUAACUCCGUGCCAGCCGCCGCGGUAAUUC
rnacentral:rRNA from 1 species